rnacentral:rRNA from 1 species
CCUACGGGUGGCUGCAGUGAGGAAUAUUGGUCAAUGGGCUUACGCCUGAACCAGCCAAGUCGCGUGAGGGAAGACUGCCCUAUGGGUUGUAAACCUCUUUUGUCAGGGAGCAACGCCGGCUACGUGUAGACGGACUGAGAGUACCUGAAGAAAAAGCAUCGGCAAACUCCGUGCCAGCAGCCGCGGCAAUACGGAGGAUGCGGGCGUUAGCCGGUUUUAUUGGGGUUAAUGGAUGCGUAGGCGGAAUGCCAAGUCAGCGGUAAAGUCGCGGGGCUCAACCUCGCUCCGCCGUUGAAACUGGCGUUCUGGAGUGGGCGAGAAGUAUGCGGAAUGCGUGGUGUAGCGGUGAAAUGCAUAGAUAUCACGCAGAACUCCGAUUGCGAAGGCAGCAUACCGGCGCCCAACUGACGCUGAGGCACGAAAGCGUGGGUAUCGAACAGGAUUAGAUACCCCAGUAGUC